AGGACGAACGCUGGCGGCGUGCCUAACACAUGCAAGUCGAACGGAAAUACGAUUUCGGCUGUAUUUUAGUGGCGAACGGGUGAGUAACGCGUGAGCAACCUGACCUUCAGAGGGGGGAUAACAUUUGGAAACAGAUGCUAAUACCGCAUAAGACCACGACCCGACAUCGGGAUGAGGUCAAAGGAGCAAUCCGCUGAGGGAGGGGCUCGCGUCCCAUUAGAUAGAUGGCGGGGUAACGGCCCACCAUGUCGACGAUGGGUAGCCGAGCUGAGAGGCUGAUCGGCCACACUGGAACUGAGACACGGUCCAGACUCCUACGGGAGGCAGCAGUGGGGAAUAUUGGGCAAUGGGCGCAAGCCUGACCCAGCAGCGCCGCGUGAGGGAAGAAGGCUUUCGGGUUGUAAACCUCUAUCCUUGGUGACGAAACAAAUGACGGUAGCCAAGAAGGAAGCCCCGGCUAACUACGUGCCAGCAGCGGC
rnacentral:rRNA from 1 species